GUGACUUCAAAAUUGAAAGUGCCAAUGUAGAUUCAAAGUCAGAAACGCAAAAGCCGCUCAACUAAGCUUAACAUGAUCACCAUUUGAAAGUUUAAAAGCAAUCCAUUCCUACACUUGAGUUCGAACGGUAUUAAAACACCCAGUAUUCUGAAAUUAUACAAUAGAUCCCAGCAACGAAAUCAACCUAAGCCCUUAGCAUGCACUAGCACUCGAUACAAACCAAAAACAGUAAUAUACAGAACUAAAGCACUUAAUCAUGUAUACUAAAAGUAUUAAACAACAUCAAACUUGAGAUAGUUAAUUGAAUUUCAACUUGAAUUUCCAACAGCUUCGUGCAAGCCAAUCAAUAUUCAAUUUCAUGUCAAGUUUGAGUAUUGUACCUGGAGAUUUGAAAAAUAAUGAAGGAGAAGAGUGAGUCAGCAGCAGUUCAAACAACAGUAGACCAAGAGAUGAUCAAACAGCAACAAUACACAGCCCAGGAAAUUGAGACACAGCCCAGAAUAAUUUUCAUAGAAGAAACAACACCGAUAGUAGACCAAAUUCACUUGCAGAAACCCAAAGAGACUCAAAACUACUCCCAAUACAACUUUUGAAGCUAACAGUCAUCCAAAUAGCUCAAAAUAGACUCAGCCAGCCAACUACAACUCAAAAUCACCCAAAUAAACUCGAAGAUAAACCUAAAAUAUCUCAAAGACAAUGACUCCACCCAAACCAGUUCAGUUAUGCCCAAAAUCACUUGAACAAAGCAACAGUUCGCUCCAGAAACUUUUAAUAACUCGAAUUUAGCACAGAAAUGAAGACAUUCAAAUAGGAAUUCAGAAAGGAUCUAAACAAAAAAGGCAAUGGAACAGUGAUUUUUUUUUACUUUUUUUUUUUUUGAAAGUUUCUACUGUUUUAUUUUUUGAUUUUCUCUUAAGGAAAGCUAAGAUCUAAAAGUAGUUUUGAGCUGCCAUUUGAAUUCUCAGAACUGCAGGCUUGAGAAGUGUUUUUGGGGGAAGUUUUUUUUUUUGAGCUCUCAAAAACUUCUGAAUGAAGUGAAGGGCAUGCCCUUUUAUAGGCACAAAUGAGGGCAGCCCUCAGAUUUUUAGUUUUUCCCAACAGUCCCUCUUCUUAUUUUCAUUUAAACCCCUAUUUCUUGACUUGUUCCCCAAGCUAGUGUCCUAAAUUGAUUAAAAUCUACACUAAAGUACUAUUCUAGAAGGCCCUAGGGUAUUCUUCUACCUAUACAAUACCUAUACUACCCUUGCUCUUGUUUCGAAAUUACCAUUCUUAAAGAAACUACCCUUUCCUUAUGCCCAAACUACCCCUAUUUCCUCUUAAAAUUACUGACCCCAGUUGACUACACCAAACCCAUUUACCCUUAGCUAAAACUAACUGAAGUUAACUAACGAAUGAAUUAUCCAGCUAUACCCAAAUAAACUAUCUUAAACACUAUCUCAAUUAACACUAAAAUUGAACAAACAAUUAAUACUAGCUGAAAUCAGUCUUAAACAAAUUCCAAAUCAAACCUCAUAUGAACAAAACAAAGGAGAACCUAAUUAAACUAACGAUUAAUUGACGAUUUAUUUAAACGAUUAACAGAAAUUCAGUAAAAGAGAAGAAAUUAGAAUCAAACAAAAAGAGGCAGACAUGAAUACUUCUAACUAACAAAGAAAACAAAGCUCACAACUACAGGGGGCGAACAAAAGAAACAGAUAGAAAUUAGAAAAGAAACUCACUCAGACUCCACGCGGAUUAACCCAUCGAAAUUGAAUUCUGGUUAACGUUACUUGUCUAUUUUAACCAAAAUAGGCAGGUAAGGUUAACAGAAAUCCAUUGACUUUGAAGCUCUUUAAAACAGGCCCGAGCUGACCAACCCUAGAUCCAAUAUUUGCUGAGCUUCAGAAAGAUUCGAGGGAUUUCGCCCAGGGAUUCAAGAUAAGGAAGGUCAGGGGAUUAUCAGGUAUCGAUUUGAGGCUGUUUGGACAAAAUAGGAUUUUGGGUCUGAUUUUAAAAUCAAGAUUCGAGAGGCUAGAAUUGAUUCGAAGGAUGAUUUUUGGUGUUUUGGAAAGAGGAUAUGAAGGCGAGGAGGAGGUGUGAAUUUAGGCGCCAUUGGACGACGGUGCCGCCACCGGCGUUCUAGGGAUUUUAGGGCGGCGCGGCUAGGGUUUGAGAGGGGUGAGGAAGACGAUGGGAAAUGGGGUAGGGGGGAACGUUUCGGACAGUCUUAUAGUACGCCUACCCUACCUCUAAGCCGUUGAUCUUGUUAACCUCGACGGUUUGGAUUGAUCGACGCCAAACGGCGUCGUUUUGAUUUUAGUGUAUUGGACCGGGUGGGGAAGGGGUUCUGGGCUGGCCGGGUUUGGGAGGUCUGGG
rnacentral:lncRNA from 1 species